rnacentral:rRNA from 1 species
UACCAGCACCCCGAGUGGUCGGGACGUUUAUUGGGCCUAAAGCAUCCGUAGCCGGUUCUACAAGUCUUCCGUUAAAUCCAACUGCUUAACAGGUGGGCUGCGGAAGAUACUAUAGAGCUAGGAGGCGGGAGAGGCAAGCGGUACUCGAUGGGUAGGGGUAAAAUCCGUUGAUCCAUUGAAGACCACCAGUGGCGAAGGCGGCUCACUGGACCGGUACUGACGCUGAUGCGCGAAAGCGUGGGUAGCAAACAGG